CUUUCCCAUCGUAGGCGGCGGUUACCUUAGCAGGCGGCCGUAUAAGGCCCUCAAUCUCCAAGUAGUGAUGUCACAUUAACAAAAAUGAACCACUAGCACAACAAUCUUUAACUGUUCCUGACAGUAGUACUUAAGCGAGGGUGAAAAUAAAGCUCAGGAUAUAAAAAGUACGCAGUUUAGCCUGAAAGGCAAUGAAUUGAUAGCAUUACAAAGUAUUUACACAGUUACACUAGUAAGGUUUAUGCACGUAAAAAUUGUCGUCCACCAAAAUGUAGCAUGAAGCUACAAAGGAAACCCAUGUUUUUUUUUUUUUUUUUUUGUUUUUAGAGAAGUCUUGCAGUCAAAGAAAAAUUCAUCCUGGUUCAAGAUUUGUGCUUCUACCAUGCAGGAUUACAGGGAACCGAUUUGCCAUGACUAAGAAGUGGAUAUUGGAGCGUCAAGAACGCCGCCAAGUUGCUUGGUGUCCCCAAGGACGACGAAAGGUGCUGUGUUCGAAAUGAGAACAUUCACCAUACUAAGCCCCUGGAGCUGAAUGACGCUGUGUGUGAGCUACAAUUCCAAGCAAGUGCAGGUUCCGAUAAGCCAGUCGUGCCACCGGCACGUACUUGCACUCCCACUCCACUUGCCUGCUGCCUUGCAGAGGGACAUGAUGCCGCAACUUGACAUCUUGCCAAUCACUAGAUUUACAGCCCACAACACAACACGGGUGUUUCAUGGUGCUCGUGAAAAGAAGCCUCGAGACCACCACUGACUGCGCAGCUCACGUCAAUAUGGAGCAUGUAACACAAGCAUACAGCACUUGCUGUGUGCUGGAAAUGCUUGAGUGAAGUGAUAAAUUUUCGUGUAUUCCCUUUC